GACGAACGCUGGCGGCGUGCCUAAUACAUGCAAGUCGAGCGGAUCUUUAAAGGAGCUUGCUCCGGAUAAGGUUAGCGGCGGACGGGUGAGUAACACGUAGGCAACCUGCCCAUAAGACCGGGAUAACAUCCGGAAACGGAUGCUAAGUCCGGAUAUGCAGUUCCUCCGCAUGGAGGGAUUGGGAAACACGGUGCAAGCUGUGGCUUAUGGAUUGGCCUGCGGCGCAUUAGCUAGUUGGUGAGGUAACGGCCCACCAAGGCGACGAUGCGUAGCCGAACUGAGAGGGUGAACGGCCACACUGGGACUGGGACACGGGCCAGACUCCUACGGGAGGCAGCAGUAGGGAAUCUUCCACAAUGGGCGAAAGCCUGAUGGAGCAACGCCGCGUGAGUGAGGAAGGCUUUCGGGUCGUAAAGCUCUGUUGCCAGGGAAGAACGCCUAAGAGAGUAACUGCUCUUAGGGUGACGGUACCUGAGAAGAAAGCCCCGGCUAACUACGUGCCAGCAGCCGCAGCAAUAC
rnacentral:rRNA from 1 species